rnacentral:rRNA from 1 species
UGCGUUAGGCGGCGCGGAAAGUUGGGUGUGAAAUCCCUCGGCUCAACCGAGGAACUGCGCCCAAAACUACCGUGCUCGAGGGAGAUAGAGGUGAGCGGAACUUAGGGUGGAGCGGUGAAAUGCGUUGAUAUCCUAAGGAACACCGGUGGCGAAAGCGGCUCACUGGAUCUCUUCUGACGCUGAGGCACGAAAGCUAGGGUAGCGAACGGGAUUAGAUACCCCGGUAGUCCUAGCCGUAAACGAUGAGCACUGGAUUGGAGGGUCCUCCAUAGCCUUCCAGUCGCAACGAAAGCGUUAAGUGCUCCGCCUGGGGAGUAUGGUCGCAAGGCUGAA